ACUGAAAAGACAGGAGUUAAAUACACAAAAACAAAGAAACAAUUGAAAAAUCGCAGACGAAAAGAAAACACGUGCUAUACUCUACACAAGUCGACUCGGUAUGCAGGAAAAAUAAAUUUUUUUUUUACAACUAGAAGUAGCCUUCGUAUACAUUUUCUCAAAUAUUUUAGAAAAAGUAACCAGUAAACUUGUUGGCUUACAUGAUUUUACAACAUUUUCUGGUCAUUUGAUAUGCCUAAAUGAAUUUCGACUGAAAAAGUUGUUCUUUUAAUCAUUGCUUAUCUAGCGCAGAUUCCUUGCAGCUGUAUUCAAAUUCCUUUUGUACAAAAUAGCGUCUGUCAACCACAAAUGUUAUCACACAACAAUUACAUGAAUUGCAUUACAAUAAAUCGUGAAAAAAAAGAUAGAAUAUAAGCAAACAAAACGAAAAUUUUUCAUUAAGUCUACAAGCAUAACGCACCUAUAGUGAAUUUAACAAAAUCACCGCCAAAUAAUUCUACAGUAUAAAUAUUCAAACGGACAAUGCGAAUGCAAUAUUUCGCUAAAUUUGAUCAGGUUCUGCAUAAAUCUUAGCACAGCUAAUCGCUGCACACAUUGUUGUUAAAUACUUGUGUUUCAGAAAAACACCUCAUACAAACGAAAUGAAAAGAAUUCAUCAUCUGGUAAGUCAAAGCUGAAAAAAAACCAAAAUAUUGUGCGGUUUGCAUUAUUCAGUGGAUGACGUAAUCGAUUAGACAACAAAGCGCAGAUAUUUUUCCACAAAUCGAUCAGUGAGUGAUAUAACCAACUAAAAACGAAAACGCGAGAAAGUUUCUUCAGAAAAGGACCAUUAAGUGGCAUAAUACACAAUUCGACUGAAGAUCAAGUGCUGACGACCCAGGACAACGGGAGAAAAAGUACAACGCGUGUUCCGUUUGUAUGAGUUUGUUAUUGAUUGAUUUGUUGUUGAACAACAAACGUCAAAUUUAGCUCGUAUUUUCCCAUUAAUUUUUGCAAUAAAUGUCGAAUGACGAAACACCAAUACGUGUCCAUUUUCUCAGCAUACGAAGCAUAAAUUUAAUUAUACAAAUACCGAAGGUCUUGACAGAGGCCGAAUUCACGAAGAAAUCGAACAUCUCGCGAAAGGCGAAGUGUUUCUGUUGUUAUUUCACAGAAAAGCUGAAGGACCCGUGAUAAAGCGCUAUGAUGCGUUGAAAUCAUCUGCUUUCGAGUGAGGCAACGUGGAAAUCUCAACCUUUCUUACGAGAAGCCAAAAAGGGCGGCUGCCUGUUUUGUCAGCCGUUUUGUCCUUGGUUUGUUUCUGAAUUAAACAUCCGGUUGGGGACAUAUUUUUAUCGCUUACGUGGAAUUCAAACCAAGGCGAACGUGUAUACUUCAAUUUGAUAUGAACAAAAAAGCCAACCGCGGCGAGCACUUGGUUACCAUAACUCUAAUCGUAAGAGAUGAAACAAGACAUAAUUUAAAAUUAAUUUGCAAGACUAUGCUAACAAACUACAAACCAUAAAUCAUCCGUGAAAUUAUAAUAAAGCGAAUGUGCUAAUUACAAAUAUAAAAGAACAAAUGACUCUCCGUUUAAAAUAGCAAUUAACAAAUUAAACCCAAAGGGGAGCGUUUAGAAGGAAGUAUUUCAAGUUUAAUUGGGACUAAAAAUAUAAAUUAAUCUUAUACGACGACUCAGGGUUCCGAUGAGCUUACUCCGGCCACUGGGAAGCUUCCUAAUAAGUUGGCGCCCGAGCAGGGACUACGAAUUGCCUUCCGCGAGUGAAAAUGAAACAAAAAAAAAGGGACGCCACAUAUACAGGCACCAACCCAAAGACAAGAUAAAAAGAGGGAUUUUAAACAUGAAAAUCCGAUCGCUAUCAAAGAAAUGACGUCAAACGCCGUUGAUUGCAUUUAAGCAAGUUAAGAUAUGAGUGAAAAUUGGCGGACGUAAAGACUGCAAAGCAACUGACAUCAUUAAACCAUUGUGGUCUUACAAAAUGAAACGAGAACAUUAAAUUGAUUUAGUUUGUGACAACCAAAAGAAAAGAGGGUGUUUAAAAGAAUGUUGGGGAGAGCAUCAGAAAAAAAAUUUUUAACAGCGCUAACAACCAUUCAAGCAAAUGAUUCUACCCAUACCUCAACACUCUUUGCAACUAAGCCAAAACAGUUAGACGAAAAAUGGACAGUGGUUAAGGAAGUAUACAAUCAAGCGAAGGAUAUUCUGCUUGACGUCGAUUCCAUCGCUUAUAAUUUCAAUGAAUACUCUCACAAAAAGUAUUCUAUUACGACAUAGACAGAACGAGCAACGUGCAACAGCAGCAAUAACCCCUGCAAUAUCUUCACAAAGUUUACCAAAGAUAUCAUUGACAAAGUUUGCUUGUAAUCACCUAGAGUAGAAACGGUCCUCGGAGGUCUUUGUACAACUUGAGCGCGAAAGACCCAUCGCUUCUGCAGAGAAAAUGUGGUGUUUAAAGGCCAAUUUGACGGGAGAUGCAGAACAUCUGAUAAGUCAUCUUACUCCCACUGUACAGAAAUAUAAUACCGCAUGGAAAAUUCCUCACGACAAGCAUGAUAAUAAAAGAGCAUUAGUGAGUACUGUAGUACAAAAAGUACCUGAUUAGACGAAAUGCUCAGGCUUAGCCUGCAAGCAUUAGAACACGUACACGGCGUAACUAAUGGAUCUUUCAUGGCAUUAAAAAAUUUUGAAGUCCAAACCGAUGGCUCGGAUUUAUUUUUAAUCCCAACUCUACUAAAAAAAGUCGGCAAGACAACUCAUUAACCCCAGCAGACACCUGAAGACUUAAGAGUAUUGUCAACCUGAAGUCAAUUUUUGACUUCCUCGAAAAUCGAUUCCGUAUUUUGGAGCCCCUGGGAAGUAAAGAGAGAGGAUCUGCAAAAACAUUCACUUCGGUGGCAAGUCCACCACUAUUUGCAACAGAAUGUUUUGCAUGUAAAAACCGCACAAUGUACAAAGAUGACCAACAUUCCUGAAGGCGACGGUUUCGCAACGAAACCAAAUUAUUAAAUCGCACAGUGUUGGUUACAAGCGUCUUCACUUGGGCAAUACGCAUAUCAAUUGCAAUAUGGUCCAAAAAAUGCAAUAAUCGCCACCAUAUGUCACUCCAAAAGGCAACAAUCACGUUUCCAUCGUGAACUGUGACAACAGCGCAAUACUCAGACAACACCAACAGUUUCCCCACAACACAUUGUCAGUCAACCACCAAAUGGGGCAGCACAUCCUGGAAAAGGCGAGUGUACCAAGUUUAUGAAUACGAGUAUGAAUCUUUAGUUCAAUUGACCGAAAUUGAUCUCAGCACUACAUUUAUUUGAACCCAUUUCAUAUCUCAUCAAAGUGUGUGCAAGUAAAAAAGCUAUGCUAGUAACCUAAGAGCGGUAUUCGAUGAUUCAGCAAUCAUUUCAUCCGAGUUGUCUUUGAACGACUUAAUGCAUACAGGGCCAGUUAUAAACAGUGGACUAAGCUCCAUAUUAAUUCCAUUCCGACAACCCAGGUUCGUACUCACUACUGACAUCGACGGAUCAAGAUAUCCGAAGACGACAAAAGAUUCGAGAUCAUCGCAUGGUGGUGCGAUCAGAGCACACCAUUAAAGUUCUACAGCCUAAACACAUGACUUACGAGAUUCGGGCUGCCCCAUACUUAGCAACCAAAUGUCUACAAUCUUAGGGAAAAGAAUUUGAGCAAAAAUAUGUCGUUCUCUCUAAGGCACUAUUGAAGCAUUUCUUUGUGGAUGUCAGCCUGUCGGGAAAAGACGGACUGUUACCAGCUAUUCAUAUGCAAAAGGAGCUAAGUGUCGUAUUAAAUAGUGGGGGCUUUAAUCUUCGAAAAUGGUGCGCCAACCAUCAACACUUUUUAGCCAUCCUUUCCGAAAUUUCCCGUCACACUAGGAGAACCGUUGUAUCUGAUGUGGCCAGAAUCUUUGACCCUAUGGGGCUAGUAGCAGCGGUCGUUACUAUGGCGAUAAUUAGUUUCAACAUUUAUGAAAGUAUGAUUCAUCUUAGGAUCAGGAACUCCCAGAUUCUAUUGACAACCGUUGAAUUCAUCUCAGAAACAACGUCAAACGAAUUAGACAAUUUUCAAAUCAAACAAAAGGCUGUUCAUCCCGGUGAAUAGAGCACUUUACAACUGCACUCAUUUUCAGACGCUUCUGAAAAGACGGCGCUGCAAUUUAUUGAAGAUCAAUUCACUAAGGAUGGAAGAUGGUUUUCUGAAGAAUUAAAAAGAUCGUACCAUUGGUUCUCUGGCCCGCUAUUCUCUCAUCCGACCUCUCAACUCUUACCCAACGAGUCAGUUGAGACCGACCUGCUAGCGGCACAAGUAGAAAGGAAGAAAUUCGCUGCAGUCCAAACGAAACUAUUCCCCAAUUCCCAUGACGUGUAAAACACCAUUUACCAUAUCAACCACAAGAAUUAUUUUCAGUCAUUAAUCAAUAUUGCAUAAUACAUCCUUAAUUUUUGCAUCAACGUCAGAAUAAUACCUAAUAAACGAAACUGCAGCAUUACAAAAUGCUCGAUACACUAUAGUAAGAGCCAUACAAUCCGAUUUUAAAGAGAUACAAUAACGCCGGAAGCACUAUUGCGUCAGCAAAACUGGCCAACUGAAUCCACUCAAUCCCUUUGUGGAUGAAAAAGGAGACAUUCGUGUAGGAGGGCACUUGCAAAUUGAUGCUAUGAUGCUCAACAUCCCAACUUUAACGUUGCCAUUUGUUUGGUGGCAUUAUUGUUUCUACCAAUUGCAUUAUGCAAACCAAUUAGAAUACAGAAAACCACUCCAGGGACAGGCAUUCAUUUUUAUCGCUUAGGCUCAUUUUAUAUCGUGGACGAUGAAUGGCAUUUAUUUGCGUACUAUGACAUGAAACCACUAAAAACUCAAAUUGCUACGCUAAGCAAUGGAAUUAAGUGUCUGAACUACAUGACCCACUCCAAAGAGAUAACUUUUUUUUAACGCCACAAACGACAUUGACUUUGUACGAAAUAUUGCUAACGCAUUGUUCGGCGUGCUAGAUUCAGAAUACGCCAAGAGGAUUCCCAGCAGCACAUAUUGAGCUUGCUUAAAAAUCCAGCUUCUACCUUAGACUCCACCAUCAACAUCAUCAAACAAUGCGAAGCGAAUACCGCAAAGGUGCUCACUCUCUUCAAUCAUGAGUUAUCAGAAAUUGCAGCCCGUAUUCACUGUAUGGAAGAAGGCGCCCAACAAGAGAGACUAUUCAAGACCUUUGCAGAAUUAUCUAUGCGAUUGUUGCUGACCACGUUCAAUACAACUUUUCAAGGACCACGGUUAGAUAUAACUUCAUGGAAACUUCCUAUGCUGGGACCUCAGUAGAACACACUAUUGGCUUCCACAGUGCCGUAAUUCUUGGAGCACCCUGCUUACAAAGCCGUCUAUGAUGUUCGAGCUUCAUUACUGGCAAUUAAAACCUGCAAUAUCGCACUCGGCGCUACUUGGGGUCUACCAUUUUCAAACAUUUUCCAGCCAAAAAUGGCGUGCUCUGCAUGUUGCGUUUCUUUCCGACCAUUUUGGGGAGUUGGCGAGCUGUCGUCACUGAACCUGUACAGGUGCAACAGUGAGGUGAGUCGAUAUGACGAUGGCUCGUGGGGUGGUUUAUUGCCUUUCGUCAUUAGGACCAACUUUUUCACCUUCCAUUUAUCUGAGAACAUCCCCUCAUUUACACACUUUUUCCUAUCACUGCCUUUAAGGUCCUGGUUGGAAAUGCAUCCAGACCAGGUGUUUUUCUGUUCCCGAUUUUUUGCAGGCGAUUAGUAGCUUUCCCGCAAUAAUUGAGCUUCAUUGUCUGUGUCGUAGAAGUCUACGGCGGGAAAAGUUAUGUUACUAUCUCGCGGAGCAUGAGCACGUGACUUGCGGCGUUCUCUCUCUUGAUGUCUACUUUUUGGGCCAUACGAUCAAAGCUUACUUUUUUGCCGCUGCUUAUAGGGGAUGAACAGCUCGUUAAAGGCCUGCUUUCGACCUUCUGCCUCUUUUUCGAAAUGUAUUCCUAGGUCCAUGAUUAAGGCGAGAUACUUCCAACAUCGUAAAUGGCUUUGGGCAGAAAAAGUAGGAAUCCUCCUCGCUACAACUUUUUGUAAUGUAGUCUUCGUCUUCACGUAUACGACAGGCUUUUGAUCGGUAAAAUAGACCCGCACAAUAUCUUGCCAUAUGUCCGCAUCCCAGGCAUCGCCAAGGAUAUGCGCUCCCUGAUCUUGCAGAUCAGCCAUCUUAUGCGCACCUUUUCGGCUGUCAGUAGCUUGGCGACUUCUUUCUGUUGCAGACUUAUUACUACCAUCUGCGUUCCACUGUAUGCCUUCCACCACACCUCAGCGUAUGCCACCCGUAUUGUGGCUUACGUUCAUUACUUACGUCCUCACUCCUUUCUUAGAUUUUCCGCUUUCCCACCGGACUGGUUAAGCAGUUCGCCCUUUCUCGUUCUUUUUGUCUUCUGCACUACCUCCCCAAGCUGGUUUAUUUCCGGUUCGGUUUUAACCUUUCGCAGCAUAUAGGCAUAGGAGAUCUCACCUUUAGCGGGUAUAACAAUAAUAAUAUCGCACCUUGGGAGGUCUUCUUGGACGACCUGCCUUUUUUUUCUUCGCUUCCAUUUUCAUCCGCUCACUUCCUUUAGAGGGUUCUGGUCGUCAGCUAUACCUUUUACUUGCUAUUCCGUAGACCUUAAUGUGGUCGCUACGUUACGACGUCAGGACGGCCUGUCUGUGCCCCCGGGUUGUUUUUGCUUACCUUCCUUAAGUCUACUCACGGCCUGGCCAACCCCGACUACUUUCUCUUCACUUUGCUUGCUUUUAGCAGAGGGUAGAUUUGCGAAUCACCGUCAUCUACCGCUCCUUGUAUGUGUGCAUGCGCCGACGUUUGGGAACUCUUAUCGCUAGUCUUCAUAUGACUGGCUUUCGCAGCUUGCCCCUCAAGCCGGCGUUAUUCGUACACCGUUCUAACGCUAUCUAUCUUUAAGCGCCGCCUUUUCCCGUCAUUUCCACCAUUUCCGCCAGCUCUCUGUCGUAGCCGCCAAACCGAACAAAGGUUGUCUCGUUCUCCGCAUUUCUUGCGUCGCCACUUAAUUGCUCGGGGAGUGCUUGUACGUCUACUAUCGACAUCCUUAUUUUGUUCCAAUUACCCAAUGGUUACCUAUGCAAGGAAGGAGGCCAUGCGUGGUUUCAUGCUAGUUCUUAUAAGACCAACGGUCAAUACCAGCUUCCUACGCCAUGAAACGGCCCGGAGCGUUCUUCUCAUAGUCAAGAUUUUACCGGUCCCCUACACAUAGGCAUAUACCACGGACCUUCCUUCCUCGCUGCCAUUGACCUACUAGGAGUGGGUGCCUACUCACGCCGUCGCCGAAAUAGCUUUGGAAUCAGGCUUGUAUGACUUUAAUUUGGACUCAAGCCGUUCACUAUUCGCUACGAAUCUUAGUUGCUGUUAGGUAGUGCUUUGUCCUGUGGGGACCCAAAGUCGUCCCCCGCUUUGGCCUCACGGGUUCUCCGUCUCUGGCGGAGAGAGAGAGAAUGAGCGCUAGCUUUAGUCAGAGAGUAAAUUAGCAUACGAAUAAGAUAGACUUAGAAUAAGAAUAGAAUAAGAAUAGGAUAUGCUUAGAAUAAGAAUAGGAUAGACAUGGGAGAAGAAUAGAAUAAGAGUAAGGUUAGGAAUAGAAUGAGAUGAGGGAUAGAAUAAGAAUAGGUUAAGGCUAAGGUACAGUAGAAUAAGUGAGUCGUAAUUUAAGGGAGUCGAGCUUAGGCGCUCGGUGGAGAGAAUCGUAUUUUAGUCAUCGUUGAGUUUAGUCGGAAAUCGGAUAAGAAGACCGAAAUAUACAAUCGAACAAUAAAGCUCCCUGUAACAAAUAAAUAUUCUUGUGUUUUUCUGGGCCGCUGAGCUACCGCAGCCCCAGAUUAUGGCCAGAAAAGGCCUCACAGUCCUCUAUCGAGAAAAGAAAUAUCAUUUUGGACGAACGUUACUUUCUAGCUUACUGAUAAACAAUGUUGAAAAGAGUAAGUUCUUGCAAAAACAAGCUGCCGAAAUCAAAGCGUAACUUCUCAUGUUGUGCCCGAUUUCUUGUCUCUUUUCAAAAAUUAUAUCUAGUUCUAUUACCUCUUUCUCCUAUAUCAUCUUCUGGCAAUAUUGAUCUUACCACUGUUUUGCAUCAUCUGUUGAAAUAUUACUUUUUCGAACCUAUCAAAAAGCUUAAUGCCCAAAAUAUAAUUGUAUUGCUUGAAAACUUUGUUUUUCCCAUUUUUGGCGUGUCAGUCACAACUGGCAACGCUGUUCAAUUCAAGCCAUCCCUGUUCAAGCUCUUGUUAGAGAAUUGUGGCGAUCACCAUAAGCUAACUGCCUUUUUUCACCGCAAACUAAUGCGGGUGAAUUAGUGAAUCGAUCUAUUUUAGCCAUUUGAGCAUACAUUAAACCCUCUCAACGACUUUGGGAAGAAAACUUAUCGAACAUCGGUUGUGCCUUAGAAGUGCUGUUCAUGCAAGCAUAGGAUUUUUACUUUACUAUGUUCUCUUGGGUUAACACAUACUAAAUAGUGGCAAAUCAUAUGCGUUAUUGCGAAGCUUGAUUUUUUACAAGACCCUUUUUCUUAAAUAAGAACCGACGAAAAGUUGGAGAUAAUCAUAUAUGUGUCAAUUAAUCAAUUGAUUGAGUGCAGGGAAAUGUAAGGAGGAAAGCAGCUUUUAUGCUUUUACCAAAAAAAUUGAUCAAAAAUGCGGGAAUACCAAAGAGAAAUUUAUAAACUACCAAUAGAAAAAAAGUUACCUUUUAGCAGAACGUUUAUGAGUCGGUUACUGCAAACCCACUUUGGAGUUAAUUAGACUUUCAUUUUUGGCGUCAUGUGUGGUUAGACAAAAGAAAAAGAAACAUAAAAGUAGAACAAUCAAUAACGCUUCCAAGUUAAUAGACACUCAGAAACUAUUAAUGUUUCUUUGUAACAGCGGCCUAGCUGUUGUUCGGUCGAGCGGUUGCCCUCAGCCCGUGAUUCCGCAUUACAAAAAAACAUUAACUACUAAUACAAACAAAACCACUAAAAAAAGUUCUUUCAUUUCCACUAUAGAAUCAUGUCGUCUGCCCUGUACGUCGUUCUUUGGUCUCUCCUUCGUCUGUCGGUAUCUGUCCAAUUUCCUCAACCCCGGAAAAAGGCGUCUUCACACACGUGACACAUAGCAGUUUUGAUUCUUUUUUCCUCUUUCUCUAUGUGAUACCCAAACUAACCCAGCGAAUUCUGAAGCUUAUGUGACGGUAGCUUUCUUUUUUCUUUGCGACUGCUUUGCUGUAGAAAUAAUUUUACACGCACUUCUCUUCAUGCGGCUUCUUCUUUACGCGUGGAUUUCAAGGGCGUUUGUAGGAGGCUACAAAAAAACGUCUGGCCCCAGAAAUGAACUCACACAUUUUUCUUUUGCUUUUUUUUUUUUUAAGUAUUUUUAUUUAGAGAUUUUAAAGGGAUAUAUACACAAUAUCAUUUUGUUCACGAUACAUUCAUUUAGUUAUUUAUUCGGUUAUUAUUUACAAGUUAAGCUAAUGUUACGAAAUUUACUUUUCCUCUUUCUGUUACAUUUUUUUUAUACCAUAAAUAGAUUUUUACUUAAUUCAUAACGAGGGAUGAUGUGAAUAGGCGUUCAUGUAUAUGAAGAAAAUAAAAUUCUCUCUCCUUUGAAGUUUAUUCUGUACCAUUCUAUUUUUUUAUUAUUAUCUUUGUCCCUUUGUUUUUAAAUCUUAUGUACUGUUUAUGUACCCAUAUCAAACUAUUUUUGUAGGCAUAAUUAUUAUGGAUUCAAAAACCAAAAAUUCUCCUUGUUGAUAAUAACAAUUGCAAUCAUAAUUUUUUCCCAUUUAUUUUCAUCACAAGCACGGACAUUAUUUAUUUAUAUAGAUACACAGUUUUGUUUCUCGGUUUUAGUCCUCAAUAAAAUACAAAUUACAUAUCUUUUUUUUUAUUAAUAUUUUCUAUUCAAAAAACAAGGAGCGACUCCAAGUUUGUUUCAUACAAAAAUAUUUGCUAUCUUUUUUAGGUUUAUUGCCUUAUAAUAUAUAUAUUUAAAAUUAUAAAUUUUUUUCUUUUCAGUUUUAACAUAACGUUAGAUGGUUCAUUCAGCAAAAGAUUUUAUUUUAAAAGCAAUACAAAAAUACUUCGCGACAGUAAACAUUUUUUUUUUUAAGUAAAAUGUAAUUAACAGAAACAGUUAGGUAGAACAACCGAUAUCAGAAGUUAAAGACUUAAUUAUGUACAACGCACAGUACCUUUCACCAGACAAGACCAAACGUUAACUGAUCAUCCAAAACUCCUCUCUCAAAACUUUUCCUGUGACGUUACCCGAACAUAUGUACGUCAACAUCGUAAAGUAAAACGUACAUAAUGUUACAUGUGGAAUUUUGCAAAAGUUUCGCGUGCCCAAAGAACAUUUUCAAUAUUUUUAGAGAAAAAAUUGAUAGGAGUAACUCUUUGUUGUGCUUUUCAUGCUGUUGUGAAGUGAUUUUAUACAAUAAACCGUGGUUAGGAUACCCUAAUAUUUAUUCAAGUGAUUGGAUACGUAAAUGAACCUACUAAAGUCAUAUGUUAAUGUAUUAAUAUAAUACAUAACAUAAAACAAAUGAUACACAUGCAAAUUCAAAGUUCAAGUCAAUUUCAAUUCCAAGUUUUCCUAAGAAAUGAAAAUGUAA